UACGUAGGGUGCGAGCGUUGUCCGGAAUUAUUGGGCGUAAAGGGCUCGUAGGCGGUUUGUCGCGUCGGGAGUGAAAACCAUGGGCUUAACUCAUGGCUUGCUUCCGAUACGGGCAGACUAGAGGCAUGCAGGGGAGAACGGAAUUCCUGGUGUAGCGGUGAAAUGCGCAGAUAUCAGGAGGAACACCUGCGGCGAAGGCGGGUUGCUGGGCUGACACUGACGCUGAUGCGCGAAAGCCAGGGGAGCGAACGGG
rnacentral:rRNA from 1 species